rnacentral:rRNA from 1 species
GAAACCUGGGCUAACACCGCAUAAUUUCUACGAGCUUCGGCUCGGUGAGGAAAGCUGGCCUAUGCUUGCAAGCCAGCGCUUUCAGAGGGGCCCGCGGCCGAUUAGCUAGUUGGUGGGGUAACGGCCCACCAAGGCGACGAUUGGUAGCCGGCCUGAGAGGGCGAUCGGCCACACUGGGACUGAGACACGGCCCAGACUCCUACGGGAGGCAGCAGUGGGGAAUAUUGGACAAUGGGCGAAAGCCUGAUCCAGCAACGCCGCGUGGAGGACGAAGGCCUUCGGGUCGUAAACUCCUGUCAGAUGGGAAGAAACGUCAACGGUCAAUAUCCGUUGACACUGACGGNUACCAUCAGAGGAAGCCCCGGCUAACUCUGUGCCAGCAGCCGCGGUAAUACGGAGGGGGCUAGCGUUAUUCGGAAUUAUUGGGCGUAAAGGGCGCGCAGGCGGCCUGUCAGGUCAAAGGUGAAAUCCCUCGGCUCAACCGAGGAACUGCCUUUGAAACCUAUAGGCUAGAGAAUGGGAGGGGGUGGCGGAAUUCCCGGUGUAGCGGUGAAA